AGGAACUUAGGACUAUUCAAACCCGGGGCCUUCAAAGCCCCUAAAAAGAGGCAACCUCUUAG
rnacentral:tRNA from 1 species